rnacentral:tRNA from 7 species
GCCCGGGUGGCGAAACUGGCAGACGCACUACCUUGAGGUGGUAGCGCCCGAAAGGGCUUGGAGGUUCAAAUCCUCUCCCGGGCA